AGUAAUAUUUAGUUCUAUGUAGUAGUUGUAGAUUACAUCUUGCCAAAGAUCGAACAGUUGUAUUUUAGUUCAAUUAAAAAUUUAUGUAUUAGUAAUCUAUACAUAUAUAUAAUUGCAGAACAUAUGCUCAAUGACGUGACAUGUCUCAUUUAUCAGAAACACUAUUUAUUUUUUUCUUUUUUUUUUUUUUUUUUGGCCUUUUCCCCUCAUUAAUUAAUUCAUUAUUAUCUACUCAAUUUAACCGAUUUAUGUUACGUGUUCCCUAACAGUCACUUCUUUUCUUUUCCCGUUGCCAACAGUUGCUUCUUCUCAUAAUUACCCUUGCACGCUUUGUUUUCCACAUUUCUGUCUCUCUCUCUUUCAUGGAUCAAGCACCAUCACUUAGACCAAAAUGAAGAAUCGAAAAAAUGGUUGAGGCUAUGAUUCUGGCAUGAGAAGAAAGUUUCAACCAAGAUUGCACUGACGAUGAGACAACUGGAGGCGAUCGUAUGAAUCUGAGAGCAGUAUUCAAGAAAAGUAUCUAUCCGAUUAUGAUACCUUUUCAUACUACUAUGAAAAUCCUUUUCAAAAAGCGAGAAUAUACGGAGGAUAAGCUCAAAGGGAUUACAUCGAUGAAGCGUGGAGAUAAGGUAUAUCUUUUGUACGUUCUGGUUACCUAUGUGUCUCUUGCUCGCAUGGAUUUGCGUUCAUUAAUGUUCUUCAAGUUAUUUUUCUUGUUAUUAAUUGCUUAUGAGAAUAUCAAUCUUAAUAUUCAUGAAAAUUUACUAUGUUUCUUCUUAAAUUGUAAGUUCCCGUGUUUUUUUCUUUUAGAAUUCUUCCAAUUGAUCUGUCAUUUGGUAUUAAAGGAAUGUAGUUCUCUGGUGUCAAUUCAUAAUACUUAUAGUUAAUAUAGACAUUUCUUUGAUGAUUGAUUAAUUUAACAUUUACACAUGCUUUAAAGUACAUUUUGUCAAAUUCAACACGUACGGUGUGGGAAAGCCAACAAGGUGUACACGAAGCCCCUGAGUAGCGAAAUAGUGACCAAAAUCGCAACUGGAUUCCAUCAUCGAGAAUUAGUGCCCGAAAUCUUUCCCAUUCUCUCGUUCUCUGUGUUAUUUUAUUUAGUAGAGUGUUCUACUUAAUUAUUUCAGGUUAUGUAUAAAGAAUAUUUUGUUCAACAAAAUGUAACUACCUAAAAACUUUUGAAAGUUUUCCAACAAUCCAUUUUCCUUUUAUGUUUGUUAAUUUUUUCUAUAUAGUUAAACUUUCUAUUACUGAUGCGAAUACUUUAAUCUGCUCAUUAUUGAUUUAACUUACAUUCAUCCAUGAAUUUAACUGAUGUCUCAUAUUUAUAUUCAUUCGUGAUUUCAACUGAUGUUUCAUCGGUUUUUUCAAGUUUAUUCAUGAUUUUUGGCCAGUCAUAUAGGCACAAUUAUCCUUGCUAACUAAUGGAAAAAAAAAAAGUCAUGUGCUCUUUUCCUACUUCUACCUAUUAACAUUUUGUUAAGGCUUUGCGUUCCAAGUUAUCAUUGCUUCUUGACAACAUUCUUACUUUCUCAAGGAAAAAAAGGUUUAUGCUUUUGUGCUCUACUGAAUAUGGAAAACGAGUUUGGGGUUUAUCUUUAGAAUCUUUUGGCUGCUUUCACUGACAAUUAAAUUCAUGUGUAGUGAUUCAUGUAAUGUAUUUUUAAUCAUGGAAAACAUUUGCAAAGUUGAUACAAUUACAUUUCAUACGGGCUAACUUCUAACUAGAAGUUGGAAACGUUGACGUGGCCAAUUAACUUCCUCAAAUUUCUGCUCUUCCACUGUUUUGAUUCAUUGCUUUUGCCGGUGUAUUGUAUUUUUGGGUAUAUGCUUUGGUCUUCUUGAUUAUUGUUGUUAAUGUUUGUGUGUGACUGUUAUCAGAACAAAUUUUUUAUACUAAUUAAAUGCUGAGAAAUAUCAGUAGCAGUGGAAUUCAUUUUUCUCAGCCGCCUCUACAGCUGCCUAUGUCUACUUGUGCUCAGUAUACACAAUUGCUUCUUCAUGUUGUUUCUAAUUAACCAUGUCCAUUUUGUCAUUUAGUUUUAAAGUUGGAUUAUUGGAAUGAAAUAUGCUUGUAAGGAGGAUUUAUAGAAACAUCAAAUGCCAACCGAUCUUUUGACAAAGAAGACUAGGACUGACACCACCACUCUAUUUUCUUGAUAUCUGGCAAUAAGGUGAUGAAAAACCUCAAGAACAGUGCAUCAUUGUGGGAGUUCAAUCGGUUUAACAAUAGUUUGUAAAUACCUCUACUUGAAUUCUGGUGAGCGCUGGAAUUUUUUCCAUUCCGGGGCAGUUGGGCUGUAAAAGAAAUUUCUUAAUUUCCUGUGUACUUAAAUUAUAAUGAAUAGAGUUCGAAUAAUUCAAGGCUAGCUUGGUAAGAGUUUCAUCUGUCAUGUAGUUAUAUCUCUCUAAUACUCUAUGACUUGGACACAGUAAAAGCAUUAAUUGCUACUUUUGUUGAUUCUCAUGUAAUAACAAAUUAGACACAUAUCAGUUUUGUA